CCACUUUAACAACAUGUGGACUACAUUGCAGGAGCAGGGGAGACGUGCCUGUCUGCACCACGAAAAAAGAGAGAGAAAUCAUUGCACAAAGGAGGUGGGGAAAGACUCGACUGAAAAGUAGAAAACAUCUUAGGAAGAAGGCACACUACAGUAUUAGAGUAGUACAUUCCAACUAAAGCUGCAGACAAGAAGAAAAAAAACACACUGGAUUUGUUUUGUGUGUAUUUGAAGAAAAGACCUGAAGAAUGAUGAGCCCUAAUCUCAGGUAGCGUCUGAGGACCCCUGGAUGACAACUCGCUCCAGCAACAAAAACAAGCCACAUUCCUGCAAGGAACUCCUUCAGGGAGGAGGUGCCAUGCUGUCAACUUGUCUGUUCACUCCGUCACGGUCUGGACUUUGCCGAGCGUGUGAGAACGCCGACGACUAACACAGGAUGGACCCCAAAGAACAAGCAGUGAGCCUCCUGGACAAGAUUUGGGCCAAGCUGCUGGCUCUGCCAAACGCCACCCCCAUCGAGCUGGGAGCUUUCAUCAUCCUCUUAAUAUUCAUGUUGGUGGUCGUCAUCACAAUGCUGGUGAUCUGUGCCAGCUUCUGCUGCUGCCGCCGGAGCAGCUGCGGCAGCCGCAGAGCCAAGAGGAGGAAGCGGACAUUUACAAGCAUCUAAUCUACAUGCCAAAACUUAAAACAGGUUUUGGCCAAGGCUGCCAGCUUGCACAAUGACAGCGUGUGCCAGGACUGGGACUACCGCUCACGAAACUGGGACGGGUGUGUCCACCCUCCCAAAAACACAGCAACUCUCACUAACAAAGAUGUCCUGACUUCUAAACACAUCGGCUGAAGCUGCCAGACUUUCAGGAAUAUCGGCAUUCCUUGGAUUGCCCACGUACACACUGGCAGGAGGACGACACACACCAACCAUAUUUUAACGUACAGAUACGUGUAACCAAAAAAAUUUUUAUAUUGCAGGUCAUCCAGGUAUUACUUGAUGAACCAAGUUCUGCUAGACAUGCAACAUGGUUAUUUUGCAUUUUAAUGUUCUUUUUUUUUUUUUUUUGUUCUUGUAAUUAAAAAUAUUAAGACUUGUUUCCCCAACUAACUUUGUUCUGUUUGUACCCUGCCAUAUGGCUUUGGAAAAGGCUUUUUUUUUCUUUAAUAUUUCAACUCUAUGCUCCUAAAAUUACAUUAUUUUUCCUUGUUUUCUCAUUACAAUACAGUUUUUUUUCUCUUUCUAUUUGGACUUUUUUUUAGUUCAUUUUCCAACUAUUUCAACUUUUUUUCUUGUAAAUUUCCUCCAAUUAAUGACUUUAUUCCAAUAAUAUUUUCACUUUAGUCUUGUAAGAACUUUAUAACCUAUUCCGCCUAUUGUUUUUUUUCCCUUUGGCAUUUUAACUACUAUGAUUGUUAUUUUUCUCAUAUUAUUGUGACAUUAUUCUUGAAAAGUCAUUAUUUCUCUCUGAAUAUUUUGACUUUAUUCUUGUUUUCUAAAAAUGUCUUAAUAAAAAACAGCCACAGACCUCAAAUGGCCCCCGGGCUGCACUCUGGAUACCCCUGAUGUAAACAGGUGAGUAAUAACUAUUUCCCAAAGACAAUGGCGUGACUAUGUGAUGAUUGUAUUUGUCAUACUAUCUUGAGGGCAAUAAAUAACAUUUUAUGUG